UACAGAGGUCCCGAGCGUUGUUCGGAUUCACUGGGCGUAAAGGGUGCGUAGGUGGUGAGGUAAGUCGGAUGUGAAAGCUCGGAGCUCAACUCCGAAAUGGCAUUGGAAACUACCUUGCUAGAGGGUUGGAGGGGGGACUGGAAUGCUUGGUGUAGCAGUGAAAUGCGUAGAUAUCAAGCGGAACACCAGUGGCGAAGGCGAGCCCCUGGACAACUCCUGACACUGAGGCACGAAAGCUAGGGGAGCAAACAGG
rnacentral:rRNA from 1 species